rnacentral:rRNA from 1 species
AACGAACGCUGGCGGCAGGCUUAACACAUGCAAGUCGAACGCAUCGCAAGAUGAGUGGCAGACGGGUGAGUAACGCGUGGGAAUCUACCCAUCUCUGCGGAAUAGCUCUGGGAAACUCGAAUUAAUACCGCAUACGCCCUACGGGGGAAAGAUUUAUCGGGGAUGGAUGAGCCCGCGUUGGAUUAGCUAGUUGGUGGGGUAAAGGCCUACCAAGGCGACGAUCCAUAGCUGGUCUGAGAGGAUGAUCAGCCACAUUGGGACUGAGACACGGCCCAAACUCCUACGGGAGGCAGCAGUGGGGAAUAUUGGACAAUGGGCGCAAGCCUGAUCCAGCCAUGCUGCGUGAGUGAUGAAGGCCUUAGGGUUGUAAAGCUCUUUCACCGAUGAAGAUAAUGACGGUAGUCGGAGAAGAAGCCCCGGCUAACUUCGUGCCAGCCGCCGCAGUAA